UACGUAGGGUGCGAGCGUUGUCCGGAAUUACUGGGCGUAAAGAGCUCGUAGGUGGUUUGUCGCGUUGUUCGUGAAAUCCCGUGGCUUAACUGCGGGCGUGCGGGCGAUACGGGCAGACUGGAGUACUGCAGGGGAGACUGGAAUUCCUGGUGUAGCGGUGGAAUGCGCAGAUAUCAGGAGGAACACCGGUGGCGAAGGCGGGUCUCUGGACAGUUCCUGACGCUGAGGCACGAAGGCCAGGGGAGCAAACGGG
rnacentral:rRNA from 1 species